rnacentral:rRNA from 1 species
UACGAAGGGGGCUAGCGUUGCUCGGAAUCACUGGGCGUAAAGGGUGCGUAGGCGGGUUCUUAAGUCAGAGGUGAAAUCCCUGGGCUCAACCCAGGAACUGCGUCCAAGACUGGGAGGCUUGAAUCCGGGAGAGGGAUGCGGAAUUCCAGGUGUAGCGGUGAAAUGCGUAGAUAUCUGGAGGAACACCGGUGGCGAAGGCGGCAUCCUGGACCGGUAUUGACACUGAGGCGCGAAAGCCAGGGGAGCAAACGGG